CCCACUCCAGUACUCUUGCCUGGAAAAUCCCACGGACUGAGUAGCCUGGUAGGCUAUAGUCCAUGGGGUCACAAAGAGCCGGACUCGACUGAGUGACUUCACUUCACUUCAAAGCCAAGCCAAGAGUACAUGUUAAGGUAAACCUAGAAAAAAAAUUUUUUUUAACUUAGCACUUUAGGUAUUAGUGGCUUCUACCUCCUUUUGCUCCCAGCCUCACUGAAGUGGGGCCUUGGAUUCCAGCUGCUUCCUGUGGUAAGCACCAGCCCUCACCUACCUCAGGCUUGCCUCUGGGGGGCAGCCGACCCCAGGGGACCGUGGCCCCUGACUCUGAUGACCCAGCCGUGAACAAGGAAGAGCCCUGUGUAGUAGACUAAGGGUUUCUGCCCCUGUGUUUAGAGUCUGCCUGUGUGAACUAAUGCCAAAAUUCAUCAAGCAAAUGUAGGUAUACCAUGUUCCGGCAGGAGACCUUGGAAGAACCACAGGUGUAACCACGUGGUGCUCUCAGAGGCCAUGCAGUGAGGUCUGGAACCACUGGAAGGACCCAGGGCUGGGGUUCUGUGGUACGCCUAGAGGGUGGGCUUCCUGAGGCCACGUGGGAUUCAUAGGGAUCUUCAGAGCCUGCUUUUGCUGAGAAUCUUAUCGACUAUUGGGUGGUGACUGUAGCUUGAUGUAGGAGCUGCACAGAAUGUGGGAAGGACUGGAGUUUGCCAAGGAGCAAAGGCCCCAGUGAACAUGGAUGGGGCCUUGAGUGGGCAUCUCUGUAGGUCGCCGGGAGAUCAGCACAUGAUCAGGGGGUGCAACUAGAAUUCUCUGGGGGUCCUGGAGAGGUCAGUUCUUCCCCAGGGGAUUUAGCCUCACCCCACCUAGCUCAAGAGUCACAGGCAGGCAGUGAAUUCCUAGUGCUGCAGUGUUUACUGAAUCAAACAGGACAGCACGUGGACCCCAGUCAGCCUGAUAGAGGACAGAGGCCUCAGAAAGGGAGCAAGGUCGGCGGCGGGGAGGAGGCAGGGAGGAGAAAGGGAGGAAGUUGACUGGAAGUCAGGAAGUCACUGUUGCUGGUGGAGGUGGAUUGGGGGAAUAUUGAAGAAUGAUGGACCGACUCAUUCGUGUACAGAAGAGAGGCUGGGCUGGCAAACCAUGAGGUCCUCCAGGUUCCUAGGGGCUGGGAUCUGGCCCUCCAAGAUUAUCGGCACCAAAUUCUGACCUUUGAGAUGGAUGUGGCAUAGAGUUCUGAGGGAACAGACGUCAGGUAGGAACAGGGGCUACUGGCUUUGUUCCUGAAGCUGGAGACAUUCGUUUAUUCACACAGGCAGGAAUAUACUCAAAAAUCUGUUAAUUACACCUGCCCUCUGACCCUGAAAAAUCACUCUUAAGUUUAGACCCAACAGAAAUGCAUACAUACGUCCACCACAAAGAAAGACAGUACUGGAAACAGUCCAAUCAUCCAUUAACAAUAGAAUGGAUAGGUUAUUGUGUAUUCAUACAGUGGAACACUCCUUUGCAAUGAGAAUAAACAACAUGGAUAAAUCUCACAGACAUUUUUACUCAUUGGAGUUAAAAAAAAAAAAAGCCACUUCCAAAAGAGUAAAUAUACUUUAUUUAUAUGAAGUUCAAAACAGGCAAAAGUAUGGUUUUAUAUUGCAUGGUGGUGGCUAGCUUUGGGGUGGGGGGUGAUGAACAGAAUUCAGGGGACAUCUGGGCGCUGGCCAUUUCUGUUUGCUUGAUCUGGGUGCUGGUUAUACAGGUGUGUGUAUUUCAUGGAUUAAUCCAGCUUUGUACAUGUGGUUUGUGAACAUUUGUCCAUAAAAAGUUUACCUUAAAAAGAGACUUAAAAGAUCGCUGCAGCCAGUCUGCUUUCAGCACUGUUACUAUGAAAGAUGGCAGGAGUGGACCAGACACAGUCGUGUGCCCUCAGGCAGAUAGGAGGCAGAUAGGACAACACCCAAGUGGGGAAACAAGGUGCAAAGAAGAAAUGAGCUGUUACGGACACUGCUGCGUUUUGGCCAAUCAGAACCCCUCCUUUCUUCUCUCAGGACCCCGAUUUCCUUUCAGAGGACCCCCUGCCUUCCCCUGGGGCAGAUGGGAGGAGCCGGCUCAGCCCAGGCUCAGACCUGCCAGGGAAGGCAGACUGUGGAUCUAGCCCGCCGGGAAGAUUAGGUACAGAGCCUGAUGACCUAGUCCCGAGAUGCCCUUGACGUCAGAGGAGAGUGGAGUGCCACACCUGGAAUUUACCUGGAGAGACAGCAGCUGUGAGGACCGAGCCGUCUCCUACAGCAGCGCAAGCCUCCCGGUGCCAGGACUUCCCACAGCCCCAGGAAACCACCCCCAGUGCCCACUAGGCUACUGGAUCAUGCCUCUAGGUCUUUUACAUGAAGUGUGUCUGAUCCUCCACAACCACCUUCUGGGUAAAAAACCCAGAGCCCUGAGAAGUGAAGUAACUGGGUCACCCCAGGGGUGAGUGGUAGCCUGGGAUUCAAGCUCCAGUCCCUCGGUCCCUGCUCGGCUGCCGAGCUACCUGCGGUUCUGCCUCCCCUGGAGAUGACGUCUGUCACCUGCUCUCUUCCCACCUCCCCCAGGUUGUCUUGUCUUUUACUGCCCUCCGACCUCUGAUAAGGGUUCUUUCCUCACCUAGGUGAUAGUGGCAGGAGAAUUACAUGUGUCUGUCCUGUUGAAAACUCACUGCAGUGGCUGUGGUAACUGGGGAGACAUCUGAAGAGCCUUGGUUCACAGUGCCGAUUUACCUAAAAUACUCCAGCACCUGGCCCUGCUCAGGCAGGCUGUGGUCCAAGGCAGAGUCCCAAACCAGGCUCCCUGCAGGGACUCCCACUGCUGUCGAGCAGGUUACAGAGGGGGGUCCCGCGCUCUGCACAAGCCCCACCUACGCCACUUCCCAUCUUCUGUAACCCUCUGGGCUGCCACCAGCCUAUGGCAUUCUCUGCAAGGACUACUGCAUAAACACGAAGUUCUUUCACAUUCACACACUGAAGUGAAAGAAUCAAUCACAAAAAUAUUUUUUGUUUUCCACUUCUGUACCUUAAGUGUUCUGUAAAUUGAUGGGUCCCAAAUAGUGGCUCAGUAGUUUGAAACAGAACUUCCUGAGAAUCAAAGGCCCAGAAACCCCACUCCCAGGGCAGAGCCGGGCUUGGGAAGGGGCAAGGUGAGGCCAGGUCAGUGGACCUCCUGGAAGAAAAGCCUCUGUCCAGACCAGCUCUCAGAGAUGGAACACUGUUUUUCCUUUGGGCUGCCACCACCCUAGCAGGUGUGUGGGGAAUGGGAAGAGGGAGCACAGCACAAAAACAAGAGCCCAGAGACAGUCUGUGCAAACUCAAGGAAAGCGUGGGGAAGAAAUCUGGCCUGACUAGAAUUUACGUGUGACUGGGGGCGAGGAGGAGCUGGCUGAGUUUGACUCCAUCUGCAGGGGCUGGAGAGCCAGGAACGUGUUAUAAGCCAGGGGGGUAACAGGACUUUGGGGCUUGGAGAUGGUGCCCUACAAGCAGCAGAACCCCUAGAGAAGGGACAGAAGACCUGCAGUGACCUCUGUGAGCUGGGAGAAAAGGCGAGAAACAGACAGGAGAUCGCCCUGUGGAGCGGGUGGGCUGGGAAGGAUGAGCCCAGGGUGCUGGCGGUGACUGGAUGACAGACGAAUGCCACACAGAGACAGAGUGUUGUGGCUUGACUGCCAGUAGCCCUCUAAACAUGUAUUCUUCUUUUACAGUUACAGGAUUCAAUAGUUUUAGGGCUUUUGGAAUCAAGACCAGUUUCCCUAGUCUCCACUGCAGUUAGGUCACGUGUCUAAGUACUGGACAAAGAAGGUAAGUGGAAGUGGUGUAUACAGUUUCUAGGAACUAUCCUUAAAUAGAGGGCUUAUGAACUUCUUCCUUUUCUUCCACCUUGCUAACAGGAAUGCAGAUAUGAUGGUUGGAGCUGGGGCAACCAUGUUGAACCAUGUGAGUAUAAUCCAUAUAUUAGAGAUGAUAGACCCACAAAGUAGAAGAAAUCUACAGAGAGAGAUUAAUGGAAUGUGCCCUGGGGUCCCUGCAUUUGCAAUUCUAUCUUGGUUAAGCCACUACAAUUUGGCAUUUAUCUUUCAUGGCCAAAACAAAUUCAACCAACGCAAAUGUACAACAGAGUCUGGGGCUUAGGGCAGACAUGACAGUCAUCAGUAAAAACAAAGGCUCCCAGGUGAGGGACUGGGCUUAUGCCUGCUUUCUCUGGAGGCAGUACAAACACAGAAGCCCUCCUGUGUCCUCAGCCCAGGGUAAGUAAGAGACAGAGAUCUUUCCACUUCUUCUGCAUCCUUUGCCAAGUUCUCAGGGCUCCACACACCAUGACAGGGAUGCCAGGGCACCUUACAGCCUGAGGAGGAGGCUGGAUUGAGGACCUGGGACACUGCGUUACCAAAGAGUAAUUAUAAACAGGGAAAUGAAAAUUUAGAUAACCACAUGAACAUUACCCUGGAACUUCCUCGGUAGAGAUGGCAGAGCUGAUCAAAUGCUUGGAUUUGCUGUGGAUCCAGAACAGGUUCUGAGGUUGCCUGAGAAAUCAGAAACAGUAGGAUUAAUAACAUCCAAGGGCAGCCUCCAUGGAACAUGAUGCAGUGCUUCCUUCAUGCAGAAGAAAACCCACACUACCAGGAAUCAAUGAGCUACUUUACUGAAUAUUUAUUACAAGUGGCUGCAACCCCCUCAGGCCCUUAGUGCCAGCUCUAGCUGACAACCUCCCUAAGGCUUCUCCCUGUAGCCUCAGUGUUUCCAUACUUAGGAGCUUCCUUUGGGGUGUCUUGGUUCCUCUUUGCCUUUACUAUGGAGAAUUUAGCUCCACCCAACCUUGCACCCCCAUAUCCAGCACUGAAUACAGCCAGUAAAGAUGCCCCUUCUUUGUGCUGGUGGCGGGGAUAUGUUACAAAUGAAAAAUUAUGUCAUUUCCUUGCCUUAUUGUAAAGCUGGUAGCUACCCAAGGGACUGAGAUUUUAGUCUGCUUUUGGGAGAGGGAGAAGUCUAACUUGCUUCUCCAGCAGUUUCACCUUGUCCCACUGGUUACUGUGCCAACACCGUGGUCCUGCUCUCUGUGGAUCCAACCCAGCUCACAGCUGGAGGAAGAAAUGGGAUCCUGGCAGAGGCCGCUGUGUAGGCUUUGGAGUCAGAGGUGACCUGAAAUACAAGUUCUAAACUAACCUGCUGGGUGACCCUUAGGCAAGUCCCUUCUCUGACUUGUGAGAGAGGAAAAUGCUUCCUUAUGGGCUUACUGAAUAUUAAAAUUAGAUGAAAUCCUUAUAUAAAAUGUCUUUUAUCUGCUUGGUCUCCCCUAUAAGGGCUCAGUAUAUGCUGGUUUUUAUUACUACAAUUCAGAGCAUCCUCAGUUAAAUGAUGGUGUGUUUCAACAAGGAAGGUGUCGACAUGAGCGCCCAUCCCUGAGAGCUGAGCGAGGGCUCUGGGACUGAAGGGCUGCAGAUGGGGGUCUGAAGACCUGUUGAGGCAGGAACAGGGGAGGCAGAGAACAAGUAACACCACUCGGAACUGUUAGCAUGUGCUGAGCAUUUCCUGUUUGCUCUUUGAAUGAGCUCGCUGAACCCUCAUAACGACUCUAGGAGGAAGGUGCUGCCAUGUCUAUCCCUUCCCAACCCCUAAGGAUUUGAACUUUCAAAAGCAUUACAGUGUUAAGAGGUUAUAUAAACUUGUGUUCUAGGAAUGACUUUGCUUCUUUUCUUCAAAAUUUUCCCACCCUUAGGGGGAAGAACCCUAAGCACUAAGACAGAAUGGAAAUAAGCGGCACCCCUGAAUAAACCACGCUCGUGAGUGUGAAAGAGCUUCACAGCUUCAUCUUCUGUGAAAGGAUGUGUUUCAAGAUCGGGAGAGCAGCUGACAGUAAGGACGCUCACAGCACCCGGGCUUGUGGGAUCCCGCUGUGCUGUCCUGGAGACCAGCCCAGGCCCCAGGUGCCUUAACUCUUCCUGAUGCUCUCAGUGACAUGGGGGUGGCAGAGGUUGGCCCAUGGGAAUCCCAAGCCAGGCAGCCAGAAAGAGAGGAGGAUAGCCCACAGGGGCCCCACUUUUCAUUCUAGACUCACACCUCUGGGUCUCCAGACACAUGGAGAGAUUACUCUGUACUCUGAGAAUGUUCCAACUUGCCUUGACACUUUAAGAAACACUUCUCAAUUUAAUUUGGUAGAAAAACGAUCCUGUAUCUUGGAGAGAAAUUGUGUGUAGUAUCACACUUCAGUUUAUACUAAGUAAGAUGCACAGGGGUGUUCCAAGCUAAAGAUGAUCUGAAGGUUUGAAAAAUACUGCAAACCAAGCUCAAACAAGCAGGAAGAGAAAAACACAUAAAUACUUUUGAGAGACUUAACAAUGGAAAACAUGGUCCUGCCCCGAUUUUCCACAUCCCUCCAGUACUGCUGGCAUGAACUGGGGAGCAGGACUGGUUAUGGAUGUCAUCUGCCUCUCAUUGGCCACUCAGCACCUCAGCAGUGGGGCCUGCCAUCACCAUAGUCCAUAUGACAAGGGACCAAACCACCCUGACCUUACUUUUGCUGAUUCCGUGGUUACUCCAUGGUAAAGUUUAGAGGACGGUCUAAGUGGAACAAAGUCAGGAAUGGACUAGGUAAGGUGGUGCUGGGUUGGGGUGUUAAAGUGGUUGAUUAAAAAAAGGUUGUAAAAGCCAAGCUGGAAAUUGAGAAAGUGACGAGAGCAAGAAAAAGAUCUCAUGAAAUACACUGCUGUGCUUCUUAUGAAAAUGUAGAUGAUGAGCCACUGAAGAAAUGCCCAUCAAACCCCGUGCUGAGAAAACUGUAUUGGACACAAUUACUAGUUGUAUAGACUUUCUGCCAAUUGUGUUUUCUGUUUUGCUUUUGUCACAAGAGAAUGCAAAGCUAAGUGGUCAGCUACGUAAGACUAGCCGCUGUACAGGACGUAGUGGCAACCAGAUUAGGUUUUACAUUAUUUUCCAGAGGCAAAACCUAGGUUUCUGCAUUUGUUUCAUCAUUGGAUGUACUUUGGAAGCCCAAUCAUUUUGUGAAAGCGAAGGUCACGUGAGCUCAGAAGCAGAGAAGGCACGUGGCACACUCACAGAUCACUCGCGACAGUGACGAGCCGAAAGCGUCUCCUCUAAGGUUAGGGACGAGACAAGGAUGUCCACUCUCACUACUUUUAUUCAACAUAGUUUUGAAAGUCCUGGCCAUGGCACUCAGAGAAGAAAAAGAAAAGGACUCCACACUGGAAACGGAGUGGAGCCCUCAUUGUUUGCAGGUGAUGUGAUGCUAUACAUAGAAAACCCUAAGGUCGCUGCCAGAAAACCACUAGGCUCAUCAAUGAAUCUGAUAAGGUUGCAGGAUACAAAAUUAAUACACAGAAAUCUCUUGCAUUCCUAUACACUAACAAUGAAAGAGAAAUUAAGGAAACAAUCCCAUUGGCCAUCACAUCAAAAAAAAAAAAAAAAUAUCCAAGCAUAAACCUACCUGAGGAGGCAAAUAACCUCUACUCUGAAAACUCUAAGACGCUGAUAAAAGUACUGAAAGAUAACACAAACAGAAAGAUAUACCAUGUACUUGGAUUGGAACAAUCAACACUCAAAAUGAGUAUACUACCCAAGGCAAUCUGCAGAUUCAAUGCAAUCCCUAUCAAAUUACUAAUGGCAUUUUAUACAGAACUAGAACAAAAAUUUUUUAAUCUGUAUGGAAACACAAAAG